GUGUAUAUACUCAAUUCUCAUGUAUUCUUCCCUACAUGUUAUUUGCAUUUGAUGAGCCUUGGUGGCUUGGCUUGUUUUGGUUCCUCAAACUAUCUAGAAACACACAACUUUACGAAUACAUAUACAUGCAAUCACCUAAACUCAAAACACACCGAAAGACAACAAAAUUCAAACAUAAACACGUGAAACUGAAACACGAUGCAAAAAAAAACACGUCACGCAGAUAAACUCAAAGCACCCUCGAACACAACACAACAUAACACAAUAAUAAAAUUCAACACAAUACUAGACACAGGAAAAAAAAAAUUCAAUCUUUCUUUAUUGGCAAGAACAAUGCCAUUAUGUUGCCAAGUCAAUAUCUUGUGAAGUCUCCUUGUCUUUCCAUUUUAGUAUCUUACAACUAUUGUUAGUCAUAUUGACGUUCAGUAUGUUGUUUAACAAGUUCGUAAACUUUUAUGUUAUUUUGAAAGAGGAAUUCAAGCGCCUACGAGGGAAAACUGUGCUUUGCAUACAAAAACAAACAGGUAAUCAAUGUAGAUAUGUUUUGAUUUGUCAAAUUUUACGUUCUGUUCAUGUGAAUGGAAAUUCGGU
rnacentral:sRNA from 1 species